CAAUAGCGUAUAUUAAAGUUGUUGCAGUUAAAAAGCUCGUAGUUGGAUUUCUGGUCGGAAGCUCCUGUCCUCUGAUGAGCGUACAAGUGCGUCCUACCAUCCUUCUGUUAACCUUUAAGGCUUUCGCGGCUUUUUAGGGGCUCAGAUAUUUUACCUUGAGAAAAUUAGAGUGUUUCAGGCAGGCUAGCGCCGGAAUACAUUAGCAUGGAAUAAUGGAAUAGGACUUUUGCCUCUUCUGUUGGUCAUGAGGCUCGAGUAAUGAUUAAUAGGGAUAGUUGGGGGCAUUAGUACUUAACUGUCAGAGGUGAAAUUCUCGGAUUUGUUAAAGACUAACUUAUGCGAAAGCAUUUGCCAAGGAUGUUUNCAUUA
rnacentral:rRNA from 1 species